UCGCUGUGUGUUACAAGUGUCACACAGGACCGCCGGUCCUUAAGCCGGAGGAAGUGGGGAUGACGUCAAGUCAGCAUGGCCUUUAUGUCCAGGGCUACACACACGCUACAAUGGUCAGCACAAUAGGUAGCCAAGCCGCGAGGUGGAGCCAAUCCUCAAAGCUGGCCUCAGUUCAGAUCGCAGGCUGCAACCCGCCUGCGUGAAGCCGGAGUUGCUAGUAACCGCAGGUCAGCUAUACUGCGGUGAAUACGUUCCCGGGGCUU
rnacentral:rRNA from 1 species